GGGGGCCCGCAAGCGGUGGAGCAUGUGGUUUAAUUCGAUGCAACGCGAAGAACCUUACCUACUCUUGACAUCCAGAGAACUGAGCAGAGAUGUUCGGGUGCCUUCGGGAACUCUGAGACAGGUGCUGCAUGGCUGUCGUCAGCUCGUGUUGUGAAAUGUUGGGUUAAGUCCCGCAACGAGCGCAACCCUUAUCCUUUGUUGCCAGCGAUUCGGUCGGGAACUCAAAGGAGACUGCCGGUGAUAAACCGGAGGAAGGUGGGGAUGACGUCAAGUCAUCAUGGCCCUUACGAGUAGGGCUACACACGUGCUACAAUGGCGCAUACAAAGAGAAGCGACCUCGCGAGAGCAAGCGGACCUCAUAAAGUGCGUCGUAGUCCGGAUUGGAGUCUGCAACUCGACUCCAUGAAGUCGGAAUCGCUAGUAAUCGUGAAUCAGAAUGUCACGGUGAAUACGUUCCCGGGCCUUGUACACACC
rnacentral:rRNA from 1 species